rnacentral:rRNA from 1 species
AACGAACGCUGGCGGCAGGCUUAACACAUGCAAGUCGAGCGCCCCGCAAGGGGAGCGGCAGACGGGUGAGUAACACGUGGGAACGUACCCUUUUCUACGGAAUAACGCAGGUAAACUUGUGCUAAUACCGUAUACGCCCUUCGGGGGAAAGAUUUAUCGGAGAAGGAUCGGCCCGCGUUGGAUUAGCUAGUUGGUGGGGUAAAGGCCUACCAAGGCGACGAUCCAUAGCUGGUCUGAGAGGAUGAUCAGCCACAUUGGGACUGAGACACGGCCCAAACUCCUACGGGAGGCAGCAGUGGGGAAUAUUGGACAAUGGGCGCAAGCCUGAUCCAGCCACGCCGCGUGAGUGAUGAAGGCCUUAGGGUUGUAAAGCUCUUUCACCGAUGAAGAUAAUGACGGUAGUCGGAGAAGAAGCCCCGGCUAACUUCGUGCCAGCCGCCGCGGUAA